AGUAUAACUGUCUGUAUUGGUAGAAUUGGUAUUAGUAUUUGGGAAGUGAAUCCUUGAAUCAGUCAUUGAUUACAGUCCUUGAUCCAGUCAUCGCAUCAUUCUUUGCCACCUGAAUGUAUCCAAUCUGAUCCAAUCUGAUCCAAUCAACUAACCUGGAGAAAAAUGAAGAUCCAAUGGGACUUCAGUAAUCUAAUCAGGUGCCCUUACUGAUUGGCUUAGCAGUGGAAUGGAGGGAUGAUGGAAACAGAAAGGCCUAUUAGAAGUUUCAAGCUCUGGAGAAGAGGAGCAGACUUUUCUAGCUCUAGAGACACCAGCUGGGUUCUCCACAGAGUCUGAGGUCUGAGCAUCCCACCAGCCACAUCAGAGCAGUAAGUUAUCAUCCACAGAUAAGGACACCCCUUUUUUUACUUAUGGUUAGCUAAACUUGAAGGGAGGCAUGUAUCUCUGGAUGGUAGGCAGGGUUUUCAAAAAGAGUCAUUUCUCUCCUAUGAACACAUUUCAGGUUUUGGUUUUGCCUCUCAGGGUAGUUUUGCCUGAAUCUCAAACACUGUGAGUGGUGAUUUAGCUGGUAUCACUUUAAAUGUCUAUACCAAGCAGAUAUUUUUAGUGAAAUAUAUCAGUUUGGAAUUUUAUUUCAUGAAAUUUAAAAUACAUAUUAGUAUAAAAAUGGCAUUCAUCGUAGGAAUAACUGACAGUGGAGGCUGUGUGGAUCCACGUGACUCUCCUCUUCCCAUAGAGUAAGAGCUCUAAGUGAUGGUCAGAAUAUUUUUCCCAAAUAAAGAUGGAGUCAGUUUUCAUGCACUCUAGUGCGCAUUCAUUUCUAGGUGCAAAUGAAUAAGAAAAGCAGUAGAUGGACCCCAAUGGGCUAGUGGUUGCCUUUGCCUCCUCAGUACUAGUAAAAUGCAUAUUCAAAAUACAGAAAGAGUCAUCACUUUGUCUCCACUGAGCCCUGCCUAGUGUAAUAUGGCUGAGUGCCUCUCUUGUACUACUGCUAGAUAAAUGACCUUGGCCCUGAGUGGAUUCCUUGG
rnacentral:lncRNA from 1 species